GUGCAGGAUGUGCAGGAUGUCCAGGUUUGUUACAUAGCUUGCCAUUCUGUGUCUUUCAUUGGAAAACACAUUGAGAUUUAAGGUUAGUAGUAUUAUAUGUGGAUUUGAUCUCAUCAUCAUGAUGCUAGCUAGUUAUUUUGCUAACUUGUUUAUGUGGUUGCUUCACAGUGUCACUGUUCUUUGUACUUUAGUGUGUUUUUCUGGUGCCUGGUAAUGGUUUUUCCUUUUCAUAUUUACUGCUUCCUUCAGGAGCUCUUGCAAGACAGGUCUGGUAGUAACAAGUUCCCUCAGCAUUUGCUUGUCUGAAAAGCAUCUUAUUUAUCCUUUGCUUAUGAAGCUUGGUUUGGC
rnacentral:lncRNA from 1 species